rnacentral:rRNA from 1 species
GGGGCAUCACGGAAAAGCUUGCUUUUCUGGUGGCGACCGGCGCACGGGUGCGGAACGCGUAUGGAACCUGCCCCUGUCAGGGGAAUAGCCCAGGGAAACUUGGAUUAAUGCCCCAUGGUACCGCGAUAUCGCAUGAUAUUGCGGUUAAAGAUUUAUCGGACAGGGAUGGCCAUGCGUACCAUUAGUUAGUUGGUGGGGUAACGGCCCACCAAGGCAGCGAUGGUUAGGGGCCCUGAGAGGGGGAUCCCCCACACUGGUACUGAGACACGGACCAGACUCCUACGGGAGGCAGCAGUGAGGAAUAUUGGACAAUGGGCGGGAGCCUGAUCCAGCCAUGCCGCGUGCAGGAUGACGGCCCUAUGGGUUGUAAACUGCUUUUAUACGGGAAGAAAUGCGCCCACGUGUGGGCGUCUGACGGUACCGUAAGAAUAAGGACCGGCUAACUCCGUGCCAGCAGCCGCGGUAAUACGGAGGGUCCGAGCGUUAUCCGGAAUCAUUGGGUUUAAAGGGUCCGUAGGCGGGCCUGUAAGUCAGGGGUGAAAGUUUGUGGCUCAACCAUAAAAUUGCCUUUGAUACUGCAGGUCUUGAGUCAUGGUGGGGUCGCCGGAACAUGUGGUGUAGCGGUGAAAUGCAUAGAUAUCACAUAGAACACCGAUCGCGAAGGCAGGUGGCCAACCAUGUACUGACGCUGAUGGACGAAAGCGUGGGUAGCGAACGGGAUUAGAUACCCCGGUAGUCCACGCCGUAAACGAUGGAUACUAGCUGUGGGGACUUCGGUCUCCGUGGCCAAGCGAAAGUGA